rnacentral:rRNA from 1 species
AUUGAACGCUAGCGGCAUGCCUUACACAUGCAAGUCGAACGAGUGGCGGACGGGUGAGUAAUGUCUGGGAACCUGCCCGAUGGAGGGGGAUAACUACUGGAAACGGUAGCUAAUACCGCAUACCAUCAGAUCUGCCCAUAUUGGAUUAGCUAGUUGGUGGGGUAACGGCUCACCAAGGCGACGAUCCCUAGCUGGUCUGAGAGGAUGACCAGCCACACUGGAACGGAGACACGGCCCAGACUCCUACGGGAGGCAGCAGUGGGGAAUAUUGCACAAUGGGGGAAAGCCGGAUGCAGCCAUGCCGCGUGUAUGAAGAAGGCCUUCGGGUUGUAAAGUACUUUCAGCGGGGAGGCGUUACCCGCAGAAGAAGCACCGGCUAACUCCGUGCCAGCAGCCGCGGUAAUAC